GGGGUUAUAGCUCAGUUGGUAGAGCAAUUGCUUUGCAAGCAAAAGGUCAUGGGUUCGAAUCCCAUUAAUUCCA
rnacentral:tRNA from 1 species